AAGGCCUUAAGUUAAAACGUAAACUAAUAACCUUCAAAGCUAUAAAUAAAGGGAACCCUUUAGGCCUUG
rnacentral:tRNA from 1 species